rnacentral:rRNA from 1 species
UACGGAGGGUGCAAACGUUGCUCGGAAUCAUUGGGCGUAAAGCGCACGUAGGCGGCCUGUUAAGUCGGAUGUGAAAGCCCCGGGCUCAACCCGGGAAGUGCAUUCGAAACUGGCGGGCUUGAAUAUGGAAGAGGGUCGCGGAAUUCCCGGUGUAGAGGUGAAAUUCGUAGAUAUCGGGGAGGAACACCAGUGGCGAAGGCGGCGACCUGGGCCAAUAUUGACGCUGAGGUGCGAAAGCGUGGGGAGCAAACAGGG